CCCACCAAGGCUAUGACGGGUAGCCGGCCUGAGAGGGCGGCUGGCCACACUGGGAUUGAGAUACGGCCCAGACUCCUACGGGAGGCAGCAGUGGGGAAUAUUGGGCAAUGGGGGAAACCCUGACCCAGCGACGCCGCGUGGAGGAAGGAGCCCUUCGGGGUGUAAACUCCUGUUGUAAGGGAAGAAGACAGUGACGGUACCUUACGAGGAAGCCCCGGCAAACUACGUGCCAGCAGCCGCGGUAACACGUAGGGGGCGAGCGUUGUCCGGAAUCACUGGGCGUAAAGCGCACGCAGGCGGAUGCGCGCGUCGGCUGUGAAAUGCACCGGCUCAACCGGUGCACUGCGGUCGAUACGGCGCGUCUGGAGUGCGGGAGAGGGAAGCGGAAUUCCCGGUGUAGCGGUGAAAUGCGUAGAUAUCGGGAGGAACGCCGGUGGCGAAGGCGGCUUCCUGGCCCGCAACUGACGCUCAUGUGCGAAAGCCAGGGGAGCGAACCGGAUUAGAUACCCGGGUAGUCCUGGCCGUAAACGAUGGACGCUAGGUGUGGGCGGUUUAUCCGUCUGUGCCGAAGUUAACGCGUUAAGCGUCCCGCCUGGGGAGUACGAUCGCAAGGUUGAAACUCAA
rnacentral:rRNA from 1 species